GACGAACGCUGGCGGCGUACUUAACGCAUGCAAGUCGAACGGAAAGGCCCUGCUUUUGUGGGGUGCUCGAGUGGCGAACGGGUGAGUAACACGUGAGUAACCUGCCCUUGACUUUGGGAUAACUUCAGGAAACUGGGGCUAAUACCGGAUAGGAGCUCCUGCUGCAUGGUGGGGGUUGGAAAGUUUCGGCGGUUGGGGAUGGACUCGCGGCUUAUCAGCUUGUUGGUGGGGUAGUGGCUUACCAAGGCUUUGACGGGUAGCCGGCCUGAGAGGGUGACCGGCCACAUUGGGACUGAGAUACGGCCCAGACUCCUACGGGAGGCAGCAGUGGGGAAUAUUGCACAAUGGGCGGAAGCCUGAUGCAGCAACGCCGCGUGCGGGAUGACGGCCUUCGGGUUGUAAACCGCUUUCGCCUGUGACGAAGCGUGAGUGACGGUAAUGGGUAAAGAAGCACCGGCUAACUACGUG
rnacentral:rRNA from 1 species